UAUGAAUAAAUCCUCAAAUAUUAAGAUUUGUUCUGUUUAAAACAUUCAGAGCUUUAUUUAAAUUAUUAGAUGUACGUAUCUCGAUUAUACAGGUCAAGGUUGCUAUUACAAGACUACAUAUAGGAGUUUUAUUCAACGUUGAGCGUUUACACCAUUUAUUCUGUGUGUGUUAAUUUCCACUGGUUCUGCCAAGUUAGUCUUCUCGUGUGUUACGCUUUAUGGUACGAAGCUGAAUAGGGACUGUGCAAGAAAAGCAUUCGUCGCGAACCAUUUAUUGUAAUCUACUGGUGCUAUUUGGAGUUUGUGCUUGAACACCUGGCGCGUAUUUUCUGACGUCUUUAUGUGGAUUAGGAAACUAAAGAAAAUGUAAACUACACUUCACAAUGAACUUUCAGACCGUUGUCUGUUGUCUCUACAGACUGUAAUAUGUAUGUAGCGUAUCAAACAAACCAAUUGUAACUGAAUGAAAAAUGUUUUAAUUUGUGUAAAAUACGAAGGUAAUGGUAUUUUUAAUGUUUGUAAUAUGUACGGACAAAUCAGCGUGUUUCGUUGAUAAAGAAGUAAUUAAAGAUUUUUUUUUGAACAUUUAUGAAUUGUAUUUUUUAUUUGAUAUUAAAUACUUUAAGGGUUUUUAUAUUUAACUUUACAUUAUCUAGUACGUGAUGUGUUGGUAAAAUUAGAUAAGUCGCAAUAAUUUAAAGGUAUAUCAAAUUUAACUUGUAUAUUCAUAAACCUGAAUAUUGGUUUUGUCAUACAGCUUCGUUAAAGGUUUUGUACCUUAUGUCUUCGAUUUUGAUAAAACUAAACUUAGUUGAUUAGACUAAAUCCUUUUCAAGACUUGUUGCAUUAAACUAUCAUUUCAUCAAAACAAAAACUUAAUUUUCGUAAUAUAAAACUGUUACAAAUAUUGGGGGGGGGGGGAACUGACUGGAGAUGAAACCAACCAACGAGAAGAUCGCAAACAAGGUUUGAUAUUUGUCUUUUUCUUUAUCUGUGUACAUAACCAAAUAGACUUGAUGGUACUUAUUUAUUGUUUUUCUUGUAAAGUAUGUGUAAUUGGUGUUUCGUCAAAAAUUGCCUAUUUUCGGUUCAAUGAAAUAUAAAAACUUCGUAAUAAGUGAAAGUGGAUGAUAAAAAUGACUAAGCAGUAAAACUAAGUACGUGACGUAUUUAUCCAUAAUUGUAAAAUGUACUUUUCUAUUGAUAUUUAAUACACGUGCAUCGUAUUCGUUCUAUAAAUCAAUUUGUAUCUUCAUGUAGGUUUUUCUUAGAUAUUUGUUAAUGUUUAAGGUGGAAGAAUCACAUUGAUUUGUGUUGUAAAUGAACGGGUGGACAGAGAAUGGGCAGUUUCCAUUAUUUUUUCUUUCCUUUUUGUCAUACAAAGGGUGAAAAUAAACUAUUCGAUUAAACAUUUUGAGGAAUAACUUGGUAUAGUUAAUAAACAUGAAUGCUUUUUUUCAUAGAAUUUCUUUAGGAACGAACUUAACAGAACAAAGUAGUAUUCGAAAUUGCUUUGAUGGUUUCUUAGUAUUUUGUCAACAUUUGUUUAUGGCUAUACAGUUAAUAAAAUAAUUUUUCACAGAUGUUAGUCUUAACGAAUCUAUUCAGCAAAGAUAAUGUCUCGAGAAUUUAUUUCGAUUGUGUUCGUACCUUCGCAACGCUAUUGUCCUAAGCGUGUGAACCUAUUCACGGAAAUGUGUUUUUUUUGUACAUGUAACAUGAAGGUGGAGAAACAUAUUAGUAACGUGACCAGAAGUCGUGUUUUCGUCGUACUACCGUACUAGUACUAUGACUGCACAUAAGAUUGGUCUUGUCCUCUUAUAAAUACCUGUAUUUUCAUAUAUUGACGUUCAGAUACAUACAUACAUAUAUAUAUUGAGGAUGUAAUGAUAUGAAAUUGACUCAAACAGGCGUUAGCUAUUAAUUAUUACCGUUGAAAAUUAGAUGGUAUAUAUUCUUCAUGAAUGCCAUUCUUUUCUAUUACACGUUUUCAAAACGCACUCCCGAUUUGUUAAAGGAUAUGAUAUUUUUCAUUAAAUAGCAUAAUAAAUAAAAUUUGAAAUGCAACCAAUUUUUAUUUACGAGUUAGGUGUACUUCUUUGGACUCCAGAAAAUUUUGUCAAUAAGUAUUGGAGGAUGUAAUACUAGAUCUUUUUCGGUAUACUAUAGUAAUAAGUGUUCGAAAUAGUAUUGAAUAAGUUAGAAUAGUAUGAAUAACUUAAUAAACAAUAGUUUUAUAUGUUAAAGUUCGAUGUAUAAUAUAGUAAUAUUUGAUUAUAGCCGAGUGUGUAAAGAUUUCGGAAACAAAUCGUACGCAAAAUUGUUGUCUUAAGAAUUAUCUAGCUGAGAAAUUCUCUAAAGGUUAAUUUAGUAGCAGUAGGCAGAUUACUAAAUAUAUCGUGAUGGAGUUACGUGGUUAUCUGGUAUAUUUCCGAGGUUAAUCAGUUUAGUAAUAAAUUAUGAUUAAAGGUAUUUGCCGAAGUCGGUUAAGAGAUUUGCCUAUUCUGUAAAUUAAGCUUCCAAGUAUUAUUAUACUAAAGUGCUGUUUUUAAUAAAGAGUUAAACAUUCAAAUAGAACGUUAAAUGUAAGUAAUGUGAAUUUUUGAAAUUACCAUUACCUUUUCAUUCAACGAAAACGUAGCUUUGUUUAAGUAUAAAACAAAUAAGUAUUUAUUAUUUUAUAUGAUUUGCGGAGUAACAAACUUGCCAUCAAAAGUUUAGUACGAUGUUUGUAAAAAACAAGUAAAAUAUUAAACGAGCUUUUUCUUUUGAGUUCACUACAAGUCGCAUAAUCAUCUAGGAUCAAAAUAAAAUCCCAAGAAUGUUAAAAUUAUGUUCGAACAGAAAAGUGUUUACAUCAGAAACGUACUUGUAUAUGCAUUAAACAGUAACAACAUUCCCUAGAUGCAAUAGAAAAUAUUCACUUUUUAUAAAGUUUCAGAAAGAACAAAUAGUUUAGCGUAAUUCUUCCUUUCACUGUUCAUUUUUGUGAUAAAUUGAUAAUUUGGAAUAGGUAAGUUACAAUUGCCAUUCUCGAAAAUUUAGGCAAUAAUGUUAAUAACAUAUUUAGAAUCUUUGUAUCCUUUGAUUAGAUAUUUCGUAUAAUAUUCUUUACAUAGUAAUUUAGCGUAAAUAUAAAACUCAGUUAAGUAUUAAGAAUAAUGUAUGUAGAUAUGUUUAAUGUUAGAAAACUACAUACAACUAUGUUCGAUUUUAUAGAUAUGUAAAAGUUGUGCUACAAGAGAUCAAAAUAAUGUAAGUUAAAAUGAUACUCAAACACAGAGGCGUAUAUGCAAUUUGAAGUAUGCUAAACAGCAAAUGAACAAAUGAUACGUUUAAUAAUAUGGAAAUAUUUAUACUGGAGUAACUUCCUAAGGCAUAUUCACAUGUAGGAAAUAGAACAUGCAACGUUAUUUUACUGUUCAAGGAAUAAGUUUAUUAUUCAUAAUUUAUUAUAAGAAUUUUGCAUUUGCUUUAAGUAGGAAGAUAUAUUUUUCAUUCAAACCAAUUUAAGAAAUUACAUUUUGGUGUAUAACGUGAAAGUUUCACAGUUUUUGAUUUUCUAGAUGUGUAGUAGUUGUCCUAUAAUGUUUGAAAAUUAUGACCGUAAAUAAAUGGAGAUUAGAAUAUAACAAACGCUUGUAUGUUGCUAUAAAAGGUAAUACAAUACUUUGUGACAUUCGUGUGAAAGUGUUAAUCAUAGAAUAACAUUAGGGAGAGAAACACACAUAAUUAGAUUUGCUAUUACAGUGACAGAAGCUUAAAUAGAAAGUUCUGGUAAUACUUCAAAACAUGAGGCAUGAAAUGGCCAUUGGCGAAACGUAUAGGUUAUUAGUAGCUUAUCCACGGUUUUCAACGAGACUGAUAGAUAUUUGGUAUAUUGAAUAACAUUCGUCACAUAGUCAUGUAGGGUGAAACGGAAACUCUAUAGGUUUAUGUUGAAACAAAAGAGUAUAUAGAAAAUUUGAAGUGUGCUAAAUAGCAACAGAACAAAUGAUACUUCUAAUAAUAUGGAAAUAUUUAUAGUAGAGUGACUUCCUAAGGCAUAUUCACAUGUAGGAAAUAUAUCAUGCAACGGUAAUUUACUGUUCAAGGAAUAAGUUGAUUAUUUAUAAUUUAUUGUAAGUAUUUUGCAUUUGCUUUGAAGUAGGAAGAUAUAUUUUUCAUUCACACCAACUUAGGCAAAGAUAUUUUGGUGUAUAACGUGAUAGCGUCAGUGUCUGAUUUUCUAGAUGUGUAGUAGUUGUCCUAAAUGUUUGAAAACCAUGAUCGUAAAUAAAUAGAGAUCUUAAAACAUAACUGAUUAGAAUAUAACAAACGCUUGUAUGUUGCUAUAAAAGGUACUACAAUACUUUGUGAGAUUCAUGUGAAAGUGUUAAUCAUAGAAUAACAUUAUGGAGAGAAACACACAUAAUUAUAUCUGCUAUUACAAUGACAGAAGCUUAAAUAGAAAGUUCUGGUAAUAUUUAAAAACAUGAGGCAUGAAGUGGCCGUUGGCAAAACGUAUAGGUUCUUAGUAGCUUAUCCACGGUUUUCAAUGAGACUAAUAGAUAUUUGGUAUAUUGAAUAACAUUCGUCACUUAGUCAUGUAGGGUGAAACUGAAAUUCUAUAAGGUUUAUGUUGAAACAAAAGAGUGUAUAGAAAAUUUGAAAUGUGCUAUUUAGCAACAGAACAAAUGAUACUUCUAAUAAUAUGGAAAUAUUUAUAGUAGAGUGACUUCCUAAGGCAUAUUCACAUGUAGGAAAUAUAUCAUGCAACGGUAAUUUACUGUUCAAGGAAUAAGUUGAUUAUUUAUAAUUUAUUGUAAGUAUUUUGCAUUUGCUUUGAAGUAGGAAGAUAUAUUUUUCAUUCACACCAAUUUAGGAAAUUACAUUUUGGUGUAUAACGUGAAAGUUUCACAGUUUUUGAUUUUCUAUAUGUGUAGUAGUUGUCCUAUAAUGUUUGAAAACUAUGACCGUAAAUAAAUGGAGAUUAGAAUAUAACAAACGCUUGUAUGUUGCUAUAAAAGGUACUACAAUACUUUGUGGGAUUCAUGUGAAAGUGUUAAUCAUAGAAUAACAUUAUGGAGAGAAACACACAUGAUUAGAUUUGCUAUUACAAUGACAGAAGCUUAAAUACAAAGUUCUGGUAAUAUUUCAAAACAUGAGGCAUGAAAUGGCCGUUGGCAAAACUUAUAGGUUCUAAGUAGCUUAUCCACGGUUUUCAAUGAGACUAAUAUCAAUGAGACUAAUAUAUAUUUGGUAUAUUGAAUAAUAUUCGUCACAUAGUCAUGUAGGGUGAAACAGAAACUCUAUAGGUUUAUGUUGAAACAAAAGAGUGUAUAGAGAAUUUGAAGUGUGCUAAAUAGCUAGAAAACGAAAGAUUUGUAUUUUGAUACUAGAGUACCUUAACUAGGUACGUUUACUUAUGGAAAAACAUAGUCUAUUGGAAAUCUACUGUUGAAGUACGAAAAAGUAUGUUGGUUAUUUAUAAUCAGUUGUAACGAAUUUUGCUCUUGAUUUGAAGUAGUAAACCAUGUUUGUCAUUCGCAGUAAUUUAGGCAAUGAUAUUUUGGUCUACAUGGUAUGUAACGUAAAGGUUCGACAAUGUUUUAUUUUCCAAAUGUAUACUAGCUGUAAUAUAGUAAUGCAUAACCAUGAACGUAAAUAAGUGAUAAGUUCUUUAUUUAGGAAAGUAGGGUUGAAAUAAUAGCUUUUUUGGUUUCAAAUAUUACAGUAAAGCUGUUUCUGACGGCAUGAAAUGAAUGUAUAACACGAUGUAGAGGCACAAACAUAAUUAGAUUUGUAAUUACAGUGACGAAGGUUUAAAUAAAAAUAUCUCUCAAUGUUUCACGAGGAACAAGAUGACCGCAGGGAAAACAUUUAGUAUCUUCGUAGCAUUAAUAGUUUAUAGAAAUUUACAAAGAACUUAUAAACGACCAGCAUUGAGAUCGCAAUAGAUAUGUGGUAUAAGAGUUGAAAACGAUGCAAGUAAAUGAGUGAUGACUGAUUUGAAAUAAAACAAACGCUUUUCUAUUGGUAGAACAAGCACAAUACUUUGAAUAUGAUCAAUACAUGCGAGUGUGUUAACUUUUACCCUCCAAUUUAAUGCCGAAAAAUGAUUAGUAGAAAGUUUCAUUACUUGUACAUACAUUACUUAUUUUGAAUUAAGGUGGUGUUAGUACAGAGGUUUCUUUGAUCGAAAGAUAUUGCAUAGAAAAGUUUGCUCAUUUGAAUGAAAGUGGACAUUGAAACGGAAACUAAUGUUUAUUUCCACAAAAUCAUGCACUGAAGUAAGUGACGGAGACCGGUAAACAAAUAAUUCAUGUAAAUAAAACAAACGUUUAUAUAUUGGAAUAACAUAUAAUACUUUGUGAGAUAUACGUGCAAGUAUCAAAUUUUACUAUAAUGAUGAAACAUGGUCAAAAGAACGUUUCAGCAUUUGUAAAAGCAUUAUUUAUUAUGAGUUAAUGUGAUAUUCGAUUAUAGCUUACUCUGAUGGCGUUAGUAUUGUUUAGAAUAGUUGAUUGAAAAUGAACACUAAUGUAUAGUUGUGAAGAGCUAGCGUG